UUUAUCGGAGAGUUUGAUCCUGGCUCAGGACGAACGCUGGCGGCGUGCCUAAUACAUGCAAGUCGA
rnacentral:rRNA from 1 species